CCUUGGCUAGCUCAAUCGGUAGAGCAUGAGACCCUUAGUCUCAGGGUCGUGGGUUCGAGCCCCACGUUGGGUG
rnacentral:tRNA from 1 species